AUCUUGACCAAUGACCAUCUUUAUUUCAAUAACCCAUUUAUAUAUAACCCAAAGCCUCCCAUUUCUGCCUCACCUAAACCACAUGAUGAGGAUAUCCUUACUGUUCUCUCUUUUCCUCCUUGCUCUUGCCUCAGCUGAGUUUGGACCUUCAAUGGGUAUAAAAGGUGGAAAUGCAGCAAGGAUCCCAGAACAUACAUGUCAUAAAGUUAUAGAGACAAACACAUGUGAGUUGCAGAAAUGCAUCCACGAAUGUUCCAAGGAACCUGCUGGUGUCGGGGACUGCACAGAUCACAAUGUUUGUUAUUGCACUUUUUAUUGUAAGGAUCCCCCUCUGUGAUUCAUUCAUAUCCCUUUCAACACUUUGAAUUUGUUCUUCUUUUUUUUCUUAGAUCUAGAAAUUGAUAGCAAUGGACCCCUUUCCUGUUUUCCUUGUCUUCUAUGUUUCUUAUGACAGAUAAUUAACGAUGUUUCACCGGUUGUCCAA